CAUGCAGCAAGUCGGGAAGAUAUGGAUAUCCAACGAGGGGUCUGAAGGUAGAAAUGUCAGCUCUAAGAUCCUGGGCCCCAUGCUACCCUCCCUGAGAUGCUGCUAUGUGAAUGUGGAGGGAAAGAAACAGAAGUUACUGCAUCUUACUCCAUCCUAAGAAAGGCUACAGUGGGCAGCCCUGAUUCCCUCCUGCUGUCCAGAACCUGAGAGCCCAGUAAAUUGGAGCCUAGGCCACUGUGGCCUUUGAAAGACAGACAGAAGACUUCCAGACACGCAGCAAAGAUAAGAAAGCUGCAAGGAUGCCAGAGGCC
rnacentral:lncRNA from 1 species